UGGAAGUUGUACCCUGGUGGGGUGUUAGAGGGUCACACAAGUACACACCUGUGUGUGAGGAGAGGGCAGAUUGCUGACUACCGCUGUAACGUGGAAGACCUGCUUCACUGGACGUACACAGAGCAUAAAGCCCUUUGUCUACGCAAAUCAGACAAAUGUUUGACAGCUGGAGGAAAUUCAACGCUUCUUGUGAAAACUUGCGACAGUUCUAUGAAUCAAAGAUGGAUGUUUGAGAAAUCCAAGUUUCAGCUUUAUAACACGUAAUACAUAACGGGACUUCGUGUCUUGAAUGCAUUGGUGUGAUGCGUUUUGUGAAUGUUUUUGCAUUGUUCAAGUAUGUGCGAACGUAUACUGAUUUACAUAUAUUGUGAUGUGGCCAAAGUGCUUAGGUGCUGCUGUGAUCGGAUUUGUAUCGCAGCGACUGAAGAUUAGGCUGUGGAUUUACACUUUUCUAUAAUCAUCUUGUUACUGAUGCGUCAGAUGAGGAACGUGCUGUAUAUGCCCAACCUUAAAGCUUGUGGUAAGGCCUCGAAUGUUAGGCAGUGUCGUAUGGCGUUCACUGAAAUCGGGAGUCUAGAUUGCCACUUCAGUACUUUGAGUAUAGUAAACUAAUGAGAUUGGUUAGCCAAUAUUUGACAUGUCAGGUGCUUCAUUGUGUUCAAAUUAUAUUAUAAGUAUGUCAGAGUGACAUGUUGUAUGUGUUGUCAAAGAUAAUAAAUAUUAUAUAUAUGGACAAAGUUAUUAUUCUUGAUUUGAUGUAAUAUUUGUGGGAACCAUUGUGUUUUAACAUCAUAAAAAAGCAAUAAUCAUUAAA